rnacentral:rRNA from 1 species
AACGAACGCUGGCGGCAUGCCUAACACAUGCAAGUCGAACGAGACCUUCGGGUCUAGUGGCGCACGGGUGCGUAACGCGUGGGAAUCUGCCCUUGGGUUCGGAAUAACAGUUGGAAACGACUGCUAAUACCGGAUGAUGACGUAAGUCCAAAGAUUUAUCGCCCAAGGAUGAGCCCGCGUAGGAUUAGCUAGUUGGUGAGGUAAAGGCUCACCAAGGCGACGAUCCUUAGCUGGUCUGAGAGGAUGAUCAGCCACACUGGGACUGAGACACGGCCCAGACUCCUACGGGAGGCAGCAGUGGGGAAUAUUGGACAAUGGGCGAAAGCCUGAUCCAGCAAUGACGCGUGAGUGAUGAAGGCCUUAGGGUUGUAAAGCUCUUUUACCCGGGAUGAUAAUGACAGUACCGGGAGAAUAAGCUCCGGCUAACUCCGUG